rnacentral:rRNA from 1 species
UAAAGAGCAAGAGAAGGGCGUACGGGGGAUGCCUAGGGUCUCAGAGGCGAAGAAGGACGUGAUAAGCUGCGAUAAGCUGCGGGGAAGAGCACAUAUCUAUCAAUCCGCAGAUUUCCGAAUGGGGCAACCCUCUCCGGUGAAGCCGGAGAAUCCAUAUCAAAGGGUAUGGAGGCGAACGUGGGGAACUGAAACAUCUAAUUACCCACAGGAAGAGAAAACAAUAGUGAUUCCGCAAGUAGUGGCGAGCGAACGCGGAUAAGCCCAAACCGAUUAUGUUACGGCAUAGUCGGGGUUGUAGGACUGUUAUAAUUGAGAUAUUUUAAGUUGAAUGAUCUGGGAAGGUCAACCGUAGGGUGUGAGAGUCACGUAAACGUAAUAAAUAUUGAGAGGGCAGUAUCCUGAGUAGGGGGGGGACCGGAGAAAUCCCCUUUGAAUCCGGCGGCACCAUCCGCCAAGGCUAAAUACUCCUGAGACACCGAUAGUGAACCAGUACUGUGAAGGAAAGGUGAAAAGCACGGGGAGUACCCGGGUGAAAAGAACCUGAAACCGUACGCCUACAAGCGGUCGGAGCUUCGUGAUGAAGUGACGGCGUGCCUUUUGCAUAAUGAUCCUACGAGUUACGUUAGCGAGCGAGGUUAAGUUUUUAAGGAACGAAUCCGAAGCGAAAGCGAGUUUUAACAGGGCGUUAAGUUCGUUGACGUAGACGCGAAACCUGGUGAUCUACCCAUGGUCAGGUUGAAGGUUGGGUAAAACUAACUGGAGGACCGCACUGGUAAACGUUGAAAAGUUUUCAGAUGAACUGUGGGUAGGGGUGAAAGGCUAAUCAAACCGGGAAAUAGCUCGUACUCCCCGAAAUGUAUUUAGGUACAGCGUUUUGUUUAGUAUUAUAGAGGUAGAGCUACCGAUUGGAUGCGGGGGAGUCACAUCCUACCAAAUUCAGACGAACUCCGAAUGCUAUAAUAUAUACAGGGCAGUGAGGGUUUGGGUGCUAAGGUCCAAAUCCGAGAGGGAAAGAACCCAGAGCUACAGCUAAGGUCUCCAAAUCUAUACUAAGUUGAACAAAGGAAGUCUGACUGCCGAGACAGCCAGGAUGUUUGCUUGGAAGCAGCAAUUCAUUUAAAGAGUGCGUAACAGCUCACUGGUCGAGCGGGGCGGGCAUCGAUAAUAAGCGGGCAUAAAGUAUAGUACCGAAGCUUAGCCAAGAGAGAUCUUGGGUAGGGGAGCAUUCUGAUUACGGUGAAGGCAUUUUUUGAGAAGUGUUGGAGUGAUCAGAAAAGCAAAUGUAGGAAUAAGUAGCGAUAAUGAAUGUGAGAACCAUUCACACCGAAAGACUAAGGAUUCCUCCGCUAUGUCAAUCAACGGAGGGUAAGUCGGCCCCUAAGGAUAAUGCGAAAGCAGAGGCCGAUGGGAAGCAGGUUAAAAUUCCUGCACCGGUGCAUAUUACGAAACGGGGACGGAUUUUCGAGCUUAAUACGAACCGACGGAAAUGUUCGUUGAGGGGAGUCUUCGGACGAACCGAAUUAGGGGAGAAGGUUCCAAGAAAAGCCGGUAAGUUAUGGAUAUGCAGCGACCGUACCGUAAACCGACACAGGUAGUCGAGGCGAGAAGCCUAAGGUGCUCGAGUGAAUCACGGCUAAGGAACUAGGCAAAUUAACCCUGUAACUUCGGGAUAAAGGGAGCCUCAGCGAUGAGGCCGCAGAGAAAUGGCCCAGGCGACUGUUUAACAAAAACACAUGGCUAUGCGAAGAUUAAUGUCGACGUAUAUGGCCUGACACCUGCCCGGUGCCGGAAGGUUAAGAGGGGGUGUUACCGCAAGGGAAGCACUGAAUUGAAGCCCCGGUAAACGGCGGCCGUAACUAUAACGGUCCUAAGGUAGCGAAAUUCCUUGUCGGGUAAGUUCCGACCUGCACGAAUGGUGUAACGAUCUGGGCACUGUCUCAGCCGUGAGCUCGGCGAAAUUGUAGUGACGGUGAAGAUGCCGUCUACCCGCCACGGGACGGAAAGACCCCGUGAACCUUUACUAUAGCUUAGCGUUGUGACUGGAUAUUCGAUGUGUAGGAUAGGUGGGAGACUAUGAGUGGGCGUCGCCAGGCGUUCAGGAGUCACCGUUGAAAUACCACCCUUUGGAUAUUUGGUUUCUAACCUCGGAGAGGGACAUCGCUUGGUGGGUAGUUUGACUGGGGUGGUCGCCUCCAAAAGCGUAACGGAGGCUUCCAAAGGUUCUCUCAGCACGCUUGGUAACCGUGCGUUGAGUGCAAUAGCAAAAGAGAGCUUGACUGCAAGACCGACAAGUCGAGCAGGAUGGAAACAUGGGUAUAGUGAUCCGGUGGUUCUGAAUGGAAGGGCCAUCGCUCAAAGGAUAAAAGGUACUCCGGGGAUAACAGGCUGAUCUCCCCCAAGAGCUCAUAUCGACGGGGAGGUUUGGCACCUCGAUGUCGGCUCGUCACAUCCUGGGGCUGGAGAAGGUCCCAAGGGUUCGGCUGUUCGCCGAUUAAAGUGGCACGCGAGCUGGGUUCAGAACGUCGUGAGACAGUUCGGUCCCUAUCUGUGGUGGGCGUAGGAAGUUUGCGAGGGUCUGAUUUUAGUACGAGAGGACCGAAUUGGACAUACCUCUGGUGUAUCUGUUGUCUUGCCAAGGGCACGGCAGAGUAGCUAAGUAUGGUUAGGAUAAACGCUGAAAGCAUCUAAGUGUGAAACCGGCCUCAAGAUGAGACUUCCACAGAGGAACGUUAUAGACGAUGACGUAGAUAGGCUACAGGUGUAGAGGCAGUAAUGUCAAAGCCGAGUAGUACUAAUGAACCGAAAGCUCUUCAAU